UGUCUUGUGUCUUUACUUCCUGUCUGUGUUUUCACUCCAGUUUUGAUUGUUGGCCCUCCCUUGAUUGUUUGCACCUGUGUCUCGUUGUCUCACCUCCCCUAGGGCAUUUAGUCCAGGUCUUCUUUGUUCAGGGUUGGAUCAUCGUUGUACACGUGGUGUUGGUCCUGCCAAGCGUAUCUACCGAGGAUCCAAAUAACGAAUGAAGUUAGUGAGUAUGGAUCAGACCGACAUCAGAGGGGAACGCUGGUAAACGUUUACUGCAUGUGUUGGUUCGGACGGAGACGUGGACACACAGGAAGAGACAGACGGCAGACAUGGAGGGACAGCUGCACCAUCUCUAAGACCUGAAGCGCAGAGAACUCUAACGUCUUUUUGUGGCGAGAACAUGUUGAAGAGUACUGAUCGUCUCCACCUGUUUCCUCUGAUCGUCUCCAUCAUGUUGGCGUCCUGCAGCUGCUGGUGGAUCGAGGCUGAAUCAGCCUGCAGAGCUCACAGGCUGACAGCUUACAUAAGCACACUGUACACGGUAUUAUUCUCCAAACAUGGCCUUAAUCCCUACACUGGGAGAGAUAAGUCUCACCAAGGUGGGAUUCCUGCGGCUGAAGAUGAGUCGCUGUGAUGCUGCUGCACGUUAACAUUUCCUCCCUGUUUGAUCCGUGUUGUCCUGUAAGCUGAUCCACACCGACACAACGCACAUCUGCUCGUGUCCAUGUUUUUUUCCUCAACGUGCACGCGUCUACAGCGAGCUGCUCUGCAAACGCCACAUCACUCAUCUCUGGAUCUUUUUUCAAAAGAUGGAUGAAAGUAAAGGGAUAAUGAACGUUCUGCUGAUGAGUUUUUAUUUGUUUUUCACACGAAGAGAACGAGUCACUUCACAAUUAUUUGUUCCUAUAUCAGGAAA